rnacentral:lncRNA from 1 species
UUCCAUGUGCCACGGACGCAACUCUAAAGACAGUGACAGCGACAGUCAUAAAGACUGUAGCCAUCACAGACUAUGCUGUGCACUUAGUGUUUGGUUAAUGAAAUAAAAUUAGCCGCCCCCCCAAAAGUAAGAUUUGCCAUCCACUAUAGAAACACCUACAAGUACCUAUAUUAAGUAACACUGCGUCCCCAAAGCACAAUCCUAGCCUUGGCAUCGUUUCAUUUUGAUGGUUAGUUAAUUCACAGGAAGGAUAACACUGCAUUCCUAUUUCCAUGGAAUUAGACUCCAUUUCUCUACUAAAGGUGGGAGGCAGUAGUACGAUGUUUCCUAAAAGAAGUUGUUUUUACACUGAAAAUAUCACAUUCACACGGAAAAUAGUAAGGGUGAAGUUAGCCAGGGCACAUACUGCAGAAGGAACACCAUGGGCCAACACUUGACAGAAAUAUCCAUGUGCAUAUUCACUUUUAAGUACCAUGUAUAGAGAGUCAGUCUCAAUAUGGUGUGGAAUUAUUAUAGGAUGAAUUCCCACACCUGUUUCAAGAAUUGCAACCAGAGCAUCACCACGAGUUGAAAGUCACUGAAGGCACAUGUCAACCAGUAUUUCUCCUCAACUUUUUUCUAGCUUUAAAAUAUAAUUGACAUACUCCACUGUGCACGUUUAAAGUAGGCAAAUUAAUGAUUUGACACAUUCUAAAAUUACCACAAAAAGCUUCAUUAAUACUCAGUAUAAUUAAAAUGUGCGUGUGUGUGUUGGUAACUGCUAAGAUCUUCUCUCUCAGCAACGUUUAGGAUGUAAUACAGCACUGACUAUAGGCAGAUAUUAAGUCACCAUCUAAUCCAUUACUUGUCUUAUGAUGGGAAUAUUGUACCCUUUCAGUAUCUCUCCAUUUCCCCAACAUCAGGUCUCUGGCAACCACCCUUCUACUCUAUUUCAAUGAUUACAGCUUUUUAAACAUUCUAAUUGAGACCUUCAAGUGCUCUUCUUUCCAUAUCUGACUUACUAUACAUUCUAUAAUGCCCACCAGAUCCAUUCACAUUCACAGAUGAAAUAGUUCUUUCAUUUUGAUGCUCAAUAUUCCCAGGCUAAGGAUCAGCCACAGGAACUCAUUGUUUUGAUGUCUGGGCUAUCAUGAAUAAUGCCUCAAUAAGUCAGGAGUUCAGUGAGGUCCAUGUAUAAUUGAUAGGUUUUCAUUUCUUUUGACUAACCCACAAGUGGAGCUGCUGGAUCCCAUGAUAGUUCUUAUUUCUAAAUACCCAAGGAAGCUCCGUAUGAUUCUCUAUAGUGGCUGAACCCCAUCUGCAUUCCAGGAACAGUGCAUAAAGGUUCCCUUUCCUCCACAUCCUCGCCAGCACUUGGUAUGUCUUGUCUUAUUGAUACUCAUCAUUCAUAACAUGUAUGUGGUGAUAACUCACUGAGUUUGACUUGCACUGCCUGGAUGGUUACUGAAGUCGAGCAUUUUCGUACACCUGUUGAUCACUGAGUCGUCUUUAGAAAACUGUCCAUUCACUUCCUCUGCUCAUUUUUGAUUGAACUCUUUGUUGGUCUUUUCAUUUUUUUGCUCUUGAGUUAUAUGAGUUCCUUGUGUUUUUAAGUUAUUAGCCUCUUAUCAGAUGUGGUUCCCAAACACCUUCUCUCAUUCCAGAUUGCCUCUGCAUUCUGCUACGUGUUUCCUCUGCUGUGUAGAACCUUUUUUGUCUGACUGUAGUCUUAUUUCUAUUUUCGCCUGUACUUUGGUGUCCCAUCUAAAAAACUGUUGCCAACACCAAUAUUGAGGAGCUUUUCCCCUGUGUUUCCUUGUAAGAGUUUUACAGUUUCAGGUCUCACAUUAAAGACUAAGAUGUAUUUUGAGUUUACUUUUGUCAGCGCAAGAUAAGGGGUUCAAUUUCAUUCUCUCACAUAUGAGUGUGUAGUUUUUGAAAUGCCAUUUAUUGAGGAGACUAUCCAUUCCUCACUGAGUAUUCUUGGCUUCCUUGUCAAAUACUAUUUAGUCAUACAUGAAUGAACUAAUUUCCAGGCAAUCAAUUCUGUUGCAUUAACCUAUGUGUCUACUUUUAUGCUAAUGUAUUACUGCGGUGUCAGUUGUAAUGUCUCUUUUGCAACUUUUUUCAAGCACUCUCUGUAUCUACUACAGAGUAGCUAUUAUGUAUAGUAACUGAAGAAUCACUAUUCCUCACAUUGAACAUGUAGCAUUCCUACAAGCUUCUUGCCAUGUAUUUUAAGGAUUUCUCAGUAUCUAUUGCAGAAGGUCUGUCACAUCUAUUCCUUGUAACCAUGUUUCCUUUUUUUUGGGGGGGGGGCAAAUAGAGGACCUUUAUUUUACAUUUCUCAGGAUACUAGAACAAUGUAUGCUCUCUUGACAUAGAGUAUGCUGUUUAGAUAUACCUCAUAACCCUACAAUUCCACUGCUGGGUAUAUACCAAAAAACAAAGCAACUCUUACGGACAAGGAAAGACUUGUACAAAUAUGUCAACUGGCUUUCUUAAGUUUUAAACCUUUUCCCCCUCUUUAUCAGCUACACCCACGGCUUGUAGAUGUUUCUGGGCCAUGGAUCAAAUUCCAGCUGCAGCUGUGACCUACACCACAGCUGCAGCAAUACCGGAUCCUCACUCUCCUGCGCUGGGUCAAUCAAACCCCAAACCCGCAGCACCGCAGAGAAAACACCAGCUCUUUUGCCUGCUGAGCCACAGUGGGAACUCCAGUUUUGAACUUAAAUAGUAUAGUAGAAUGUGUACCGAAACUGUAGUACUAUUUAUCUGGGGGAAUACUGCCUAUCUGUAAGAGCCUAAGUCCACUGUUGAGUGCAACAUGGAUGAAUCCCCCCAACAUAAUAUUGAAGGCAAGUCACACACAAAGCAGAAUCUACUAUACAGCUCCAUUUGCAUGGAGACAGAAGACAACAGUCAUAACUCAUCUAGAGUGAUAGUAGUCUGCAGAGUGGCACUACUUGGGAGUUACAGAAACAUUUUCCAUCUUAACCUGGUGACAGUGACAUGAGCAACAGGUGUUAAGACUUGUGCAACAGGUAAGAUUUAUGCUCUUCACUGUCAGUUAAACCUAACUAAAAAUAAAGAUCAAUGAUUGUGAAGCAAAGUGUGUACACAGCAGGCAAGUCUAAUUACCAUUUUUCCAAGGCUGGUGUCUGAAAUUAACCCUCGGCUGGCACCCUGGUACUUGCAAGUGUUAUCAUUCUCAGCAAUGAUGAGGGACUGAAUGUGUUUCAACUGUUUUUACAAGCAGUACAGUUUAUGCUAAACACCUGCUUUCCUUCUCGGAGUCUGGCAUUUGUGUACAUGCCAGAUAGAGGCUGCCUAUGGGACCAGCCCCCCAUAAACAUCCUGGGUGCUAAGUGGGUAAUGGGAUUCUCUGGCAUACAUUAUUCUUCUGUAAUAAAUCACUUCCAAAAUUUUAACUGUGUUGAGUCCUAGGAGUCCUUCUAGUGGAUUACAGAAUCAGUGGUUGAAAACUCCACUGGCAUAGGAUGACAGCAAAUUAUUUAGCAUAAUUGGAUUUUUUUCUAUUUCUCUUUCGCUUCCUAUUUGGAAUUUACUUCCCUUCCCUUGGAAAUUAAGAACCUGAGUUGGGAGAGAGGAUGUCCCAUAUGUGAGGCCUUCCAGGAAUGCAUCUAGCAACCUGAAUUGGGGGAGCAGGGCCCAUGUAAGGCUCCAGAGAUAUUUUGUGGGAUCCCCCCCUCAAAUCCUUUUUCCAUUUUCCAUUAUGUCAGACAUCUUUUUUAAAAUUUUAUUUUAAGCAUACUUUGCAUAUUGUAGUAAUUAGGACAUUGAAAGAUGUGGACAGCAAAUAAUUUGUAUCAACAAGAAAAGCACAAGAAGGUCUACUGCUGUUCGUUUUGAAACUCAACUGUCCAACUAUACUCUUCCUUUGCUUGUAUACCUUGACCACAUGCUAUCAAAAUGAAGAGUUUAAGUCUGAUUUUGGUAAGUGAUUUAUUAUAAAAAUAAACCAAGAAAUGGGAGGCACCCGCAGUUCUCAGUCUUGUUUCUAGGUCUGACUUCACCGAUUUACCACAACUUGUUUUCCCCCUGAGCUUCGACUGAGCCUCAGAACCCUUGCUAACCCCAAGGUCCAUGCAGUCCAUGGUGAGCUGAGUUGGCAUGUGUUGAAACCUCUAGGUCUCCACAGUGGAAUGUCGCCGACCCCCGGACCUUACCAGGAUGCAGUGAUGCCCAGUAGGGUGGGAUCCAAACGCUGUUGGGCUGUGCACCAGUUUCACCAGGCUGUGAGUGGGGGUGGAGCUCAGGGAGGCGGGGGUGCAAGGAUCAAGCAAUCGUUUUCAACUCAAGAGGUCAGAGGAUGUUCAAGUGGGGGGCUGGCAGUGCCCCCCCCCAGCUUGAGAAAGGUUCUCUACAGAGUGGGAGUUGGGGGAAGGAUUGGUGUUCGUGCCCAUGGGGAGAAGAGUGGUUCAACGUGGAGGUCUCAUCCCAGCACUAGCAUAGGAAGGAUAAGGGGUUGUGGUUUUCUCACUAUCAGAUGUCAGUUACAGCUGUGGAGAGAAUAGCUCAAAAGUUUUUACAUGCACAAAAUCUGUAUUUGGUGAUAGAUGUUACUUUACUGUGGUUUACAGUAUAUACAUGCUAUCAAGCCAUUACAUUGUACACUUAUCAAUGUUAUACAAUUCUCAUUUUUUCAAAACUUGCCAAGUAUAAAAAUGUAACAUAUACAAAAAGAACAAAUGUACACCCUGUGUUACUGCAUUACAACUGGGAGAUGACAGUGUAACUUCAUCAUCUUCAUUUCAGUUAUGUACUAUGAAAAUAAGUGUAGCUACACACAUCCCCUAAGUCUGUCUCCUGAAUAUCCAGAGACAAGUGACAGCUCAGUAUCUUGUUGUCCCAUUAAUCCCUUUAGUUCCUUUAUCUCCAACUUUCUGACCUGAAUACCUUUGUCUGGAAAGGUUCUCUCUGUAAUUCAUCUAUCUUCUACCUGUCCUUCUGUUCUCCCCCUCUUCCAUUCCUCCCACCUUCUCCAUAUCCUCUGGCUUGGGUCCCUGGAAUAUAUAAACAUUUUCCACAACUGCAAUUGACUCUACCUUCGUCAUUGGUUUAGGAAAUUCCAAAAAUUUUGAGAACUUAACAUGAUUUAUCUAGUAUUCCUGUUCAUAGUGCCUAUUUCAUGUCUUCUAAUAUGCCAGGUUACUUGAUAGAAAAGUGGCCAAAUUAAGGCUUCCUAUGCUGUGGUCAUUAUCCAAGAGCUAAAUCCAAGUCAACAGAAGUUUUCAGAGCAUCAACUUUUGACCAUGCUCUUCAAAUGAAUACAUACACAUGUAGGUAUAUAUGCACACAGUUGUUUAUUAUGUGUAUAUAUGUUUAGUAUGUCACACAGCAUUUUUACUUUAAUAGUAACCAAAUAUCUCAAAGAAAAAUUGUAACUGCUUUAUCAGAGACUUCCCAAUUGCCUAAUCAGGUAUGAGUAAUUCACUUUGCUGACAGAGCAAAAAAGUUUUUUCUAUUAAAAGAUGGCAGAUUGCAAAUGGACAAGCUCUACCUGUAGUACAAGAAAUGUUUGUUCCCUUUCCUAAAUAUACUGUGCACACAAAAAAAUACACAAGUGGAUUAUGAAAUAGGCUAAAAGAAAUCUGAAUAGAAUGGAAAUCAUCUAACAAAGUAAUUCCUGUACAAAGAUUUUUAUUUGCUUGAACAGCACUGCCAUGCAAUCACAAAAUCAUUUAAAAGAGGGUUUUUUAAAGACACUCGACUCUUUAAAAUCAGAAAAGACUGCUCUAGGUAUGUUAAAGAGAUGUGUUAUUAGCUUUUUUUUUUAUAAGCUACUUUUAAGGUAGCACAGCCCAUCCUUCCUGGUCAACUCAUCAACCUC